rnacentral:rRNA from 1 species
GCUAAGACGGGUAGCUGGUCUGAGAGGACGACCAGCCACACUGGAACUGAGACACGGUCCAGACACCUACGGGUGGCAGCAGUCGAGAAUUUUUCACGAUGGGCGAAAGCCUGAUGGAGCGACGCCGCGUGGGGGAUGAAUGGCUUCGGCCCGUAAACCCCUGUCAUUCGGGAUCAAUGCGUUUGGGUGAACAUCCCAAACGUUGAUAGUACCGGAAGAGGAAGGGACGGCUAACUCUGUGCCAGCAGCCGCGGUAAUACAGAGGUCCCAAGCGUUGUUCGGAUUUACUGGGCGUAAAGGGUGCGUAGGUGGUUGGAUAAGUCUGAUGUGAAAUCUCGGAGCUUAACUCCGAAACGGCAUUGGAUACUAUCUAGCUUGAGAGUUGGAGGGGGGACUGGAAUUCUCGGUGUAGCAGUGAAAUGCGUAGAUAUCGAGAGGAACACCAGUGGCGAAGGCGAGUCCCUGGACAACUUCUGACACUGAGGCACGAAAGCCAGGGGAGCAAACGGGAUUAGAUACCCCGGUAGUCCUGGCCCUAAACGGUGCACGUUUGCUGUAAAAGGAAUCGACCCCUUUUGUGGCGUAGCUAACGCGUUAAACGUGCCGCCUGGGAAGUACGGUCGCAAGAUUAAA